rnacentral:rRNA from 1 species
AGAACGAACGUUAGCGGCGCGCCUAAGACAUGCAAGUCGAGCGAGAAAGGGCUUCGGCCCCAGUAAAGCGGCGCACGGGUGAGUAACACGUAGGUCAUCAACCCUCGAGUGGUGGACAACUCUCCGAAAGGAGAGCUAAUACAGCAUAACGCCAGCAAUGGCCAAAGCGGGCCUCUCCAUGGAAGCUCGCGCUUGAGGAUGAGCCUGCGGCCCAUCAGCUAGUUGGUUGGGGUAAUGGCCCACCAAGGCAUAGACGGGUAGCUGGUCUGAGAGGAUGAACAGCCACACUGGAACUGAGACACGGUCCAGACUCCUACGGGAGGCAGCAGUCGGGAAUCUUCCGCAAUGGGCGAAAGCCUGACGGAGCGACGCCGCGUGAGCGAUGAAGGCCUUCGGGUUGUAAAGCUCUGUGGGGAGGGAAGAAUAAGGGCAGGCGAAUACCCUGUUUGAUGACGGUACCUCCUUAGCAAGCACCGGCUAACUCUGUGCCAGCAGCCGCGGUAA